rnacentral:rRNA from 1 species
UAGUUGGUGAGGUAAUGGCUCACCAAGGCUAUGACGCAUAACUGGUCUGAGAGGAUGAUCAGUCACACUGGAACUGAGACACGGUCCAGACUCCUACGGGAGGCAGCAGUAGGGAAUAUUGCUCAAUGGGGGAAACCCUGAAGCAGCAACGCCGCGUGGAGGAUGACACUUUUCGGAGCGUAAACUCCUUUUGUUAGGGAAGAACAAUGACGGUACCUAACGAAUAAGCACCGGCUAACUCCGUGCCAGCAGCCGCGGUAAUACGGAGGGUGCAAGCGUUACACGGAAUCACUGGGCGUAAAGGACGCGUAGGCGGAUUAUCAAGUCUUUUGUGAAAUCUAAUGGCUCAACCAUUAAACUGC